UACGUAGGGGGCAAGCGUUGUCCGGAUUUAUUGGGCGUAAAGAGCGUGUAGGCGGCCUGACAGGUCUGCUGUGAAAACUCGAGGCUCAACCUCGAGAUGUCGGCGGAAACCCUCCAGCUAGAGUCCGGAAGAGGAGAGUGGAAUUCCUGGUGUAGCGGUGAAAUGCGCAGAUAUCAGGAAGAACACCCGUGGCUAAGGCGGCUCUCUAGUACGGUACUGACGCUGAGACGCGAAAGCGUGGGGAGCGAACAGG
rnacentral:rRNA from 1 species